rnacentral:misc_RNA from 1 species
ACAUGCUAACAAUGUGCCUAGUACA